rnacentral:rRNA from 1 species
AGAGUUUGAUCAUGGCUCAGAUUGAACGCUGGCGGCGUGCCUAACACAUGCAAGUCGAGCGGUAACAGGUGUAGCAAUACAUGCUGACGAGCGGCGAACGGGUGAGUAAUGCUUUGGAAUCUUCCCAGUAGUGGGGAACAACCAGUCGAAAGAUUGGCUAAUACCGCAUACGUCUGUGAAGAGAAAGCGGGGGAUCGUAAGACCUCGCGCUAUUGGAUGAGCCAAAGUCGGAUUAGCUAGUUGGUGAGGUAAUGGCUCACCAAGGCGACAAUCCGUAGCUGGUCUGAGAGGACGACCAGCCACACCGGAACUGAGACACGGUCCGGACUCCUACGGGAGGCAGCAGUGGGGAAUAUUGGACAAUGGGGGAAACCCUGAUCCAGCGACGCCGCGUGUGUGAAGAAGGCCUGCGGGUUGUAAAGCACUUUUAGUGGGGACAAAAAGUCAUAGGCUAAUAACCUGUGAUCUUGAUUUAACUCACAGAAAAAGCACCGGCUAACUCUGUGCCAGCAGCCGCGGUAAUACAGAGGGUGCGAGCGUUAAUCGGAAUUACUGGGCGUAAAGCGCGCGUAGACGGUUUUGUAAGUCAGAUGUGAAAUCCCCGGGCUCAACCUGGGAACUGCAUUUGAUACUGCAUGGCUAGAGUAUCGAAGAGGGAAGUGGAAUUUCCGGUGUAGCGGUGAAAUGCGUAGAUAUCGGAAGGAACACCAGUGGCGAAAGCGACUUCCUGGUCGAAUACUGACGUUCAUGUGCGAAAGCGUGGGGAGCAAACAGGAUUAGAUACCCUCGUAGUCC